rnacentral:rRNA from 1 species
GACGAACGCUGGCGGCGUGCUCAACACAUGCAAGUCGAACGAAGAGCGAUGGAAGCUUGCUUCUAUCAAUCUUAGUGGCGAACGGGUGAGUAACGCGUAAUCAACCUGCCCUUCAGAGGGGGACAACAGUUGGAAACGACUGCUAAUACCGCAUACGAUCUAAUCUCGGCAUCGAGGAUAGAUGAAAGGUGGCCUCUACAUGUAAGCUAUCACUGAAGGAGGGGAUUGUGUCUGAUUAGCUAGUUGGAGGGGUAACGGCCCACCAAGGCGAUGAUCAGUAGCCGGUCUGAGAGGAUGAACGGCCACAUUGGGACUGAGACACGGCCCAGACUCCUACGGGAGGCAGCAGUGGGGAAUCUUCCGCAAUGGACGAAAGUCUGACGGAGCAACGCCGCGUGAGUGAUGACGGCCUUCGGGUUGUAAAGCUCUGUUAAUCGGGACGAAAGGCCUUCUUGCGAAUAGUGAGAAGGAUUGACGGUACCGGAAUAGAAAGCCACGGCUAACUACGUG